UGGGGAAUUUUGGACAAUGGGCGAAGGCCUGAUCCAGCAAUGCCGCGUGUGUGAAGAAGGCCUUCGGGUUGUAAAGCACUUUUGUCCGGAAAGAAAUCCUUGGCUCUAAUACAGUCGGGGGAUGACGGUACCGGAAGAAUAAGCACCGGCUAACUACGUGCCAGCAGCCGCGGUAAUACGUAGGGUGCAAGCGUUAAUCGGAAUUACUGGGCGUAAAGCGUGCGCAGGCGGUUUGCUAAGACCGAUGUGAAAUCCCCGGGCUCAACCUGGGAACUGCAUUGGUGACUGGCAGGCUAGAGUAUGGCAGAGGGGGGUAGAAUUCCACGUGUAGCAGUGAAAUGCGUAGAGAUGUGGAGGAAUACCGAUGGCGAAGGCAGCCCCCUGGGCCAAUACUGACGCUCAUGCACGAAAGCGUGGGGAGCAAACAGGAUUAGAUACCCUGGUAGUCCACGCCCUAAACGAUGUCAACUAGUUGUUGGGGAUUCAUUUCCUUAGUAACGUAGCUAACGCGUGAAGUUGACCGCCUGGGGAGUACGGUCGCAAGAUUAAAACUUAAAUGAAUUGACGGGGUCAUAGCUGUUUCCU
rnacentral:rRNA from 1 species